UUUCUUUGGACUUAUUAAGUAAAACCGAGCGUGCCUGUCAAAUUUGAGCGAAAACGGACAUCCAGAAGGGCUCCGGCGAAAAAUAAACUGCCCGAAGUGAAUAGUGCAUAGUUGAGGGGCAAAAUGGUAAAAAGGGUUUAAAACCCCUUUUCUUCUUCUCCUCCCAACCGAGGCUGCCCCAACCGCACACACACACACAUACGAAAACACACACGCAUGGAAGAAAGGAGAGAAAUCUCUUUCUCUCUCUAGAUUUUUCCCAAAAUGGAUGGAGUCGGUGGAGAUUGAAGCUUGGAGGUGGAUCGCCCUCGUCCGCUUCAUCUUCUCCAUCGUUUGAAGCAAGUUUUGAGGUAAACAAACACGCUGGCGAAGACGGUUCGGCAAUCCGACGAGCCGUUGCGAAGUUAUUAAAGAAACGGACGUUAGGCUUCGUUUCCGCCGGGAGGGCCGAGGCGACGUCGUAAAAUCCUGGAAACGGAUUUGAAGCACCGUAGCAGCAAAACAAAGACCCUUUUUACCCGGAACUGCAAAGCGAUGCGCGGUUGGUGAGCAAUUUCGAGUUCGGGCCGAACCGGGCACCGGGUGCCGCGGGAGGCCGAUUGCAAGUGUCGACAAGCAAUCGGAACGCGUGUUAAGGUUCGCACGUGAGCGGCGCGGCGGCGCGAGGAAAGGGCGUAGCUCCA